AAAAAGAAUGCUGCCCCUUUUGCUCUGCUAGGGUUUCGACCCUAGCAUCCUUGCGCCGCCGUUCAUCAGCCUCCCCACCCAAAGCUCCAAUGAUGGCGGAGAUGGUGGUGGCACGACGACCUCGGCGAAUAGGUAAGUGUUUUUCCCUUCUUUUCUUGUUAUUUCAGGUAAAAUAAAAUGAAAAAAUAAAAGAAAAUAAAAAAAGAAAUAUGUAAAUAAAAAGAAACGAUGAACACUUCAAAGUAGAAACAAAACCUUCGAAAAAAUAAAUUUCCUCUGUAUUUCUCUCUAUUUUGGUACUUUUUUACACUCCAAAAUCCCCUUUUACCCAUUUUCCCCCAAUUUACAGAUUUUUCACGGCUUUAAAUAGCCGAAAUGGAAAAGAAAAAAUACAUAAUCAAAAGAAAUCUAUUCCGAUUUUCCUAUUCUGUUUUGUUCCCCCUCUCUUUGAUGUAGUGUUUGUUACUAUUAUUGCUGCGAUGUAUGCUAUUUUUUCGCAGGUUUGGCGGCCGUUGAAGAGGCGUUGUAUGCGGGGGUUGCUGUACGUGGGUGAUGUGCGGCGGCUGCUGAAGCAAAUAGGCUCCUAGGGUUUCUGUUAUUUUGUUUUUGUGUGGGCUAGGUUUAGUGGGUUGGGUCUAGUGUUUGGGCCUGCUUAUUUGCUUGGGCCUGGGCAUAGUUGGGCUUGUACAGUACCAAUAUCCGAUAAUUCUCUCAAUCCAGG
rnacentral:lncRNA from 1 species